UCGAUUCUGCAAAGGAUGUGGAGAUACUUUGUCGCCAGGGGAUCAUUGAGAACUGGAUGGGUGACGAUGAAACCAUUGCUUUUUUAUUCAACAAGAUGGGGGAACAUGUCUUCCACAACAGAGUUCUCUACGCUGAUAUAGAGGACAAAGUAGACAAGCACUGCAAAAGAAAAUGGAAUCUGCAGAUGGCCAAGUUAAGGCGUGAUUAUUUUAACAGCCCAUGGGCAUUCAUCUCGUUUUUAGGUGCUAUAAUCCUGCUCCUUCUCACCGGGAUUCAAACUGUGUAUUCAGUUCUUUCUUAUUUUAAACAAAUGCCUUUCUGAUUCAUGUUGUCAUGCAUGAAAGC
rnacentral:misc_RNA from 1 species